rnacentral:rRNA from 1 species
AUUGAACGCUGGCGGCAUGCCUUACACAUGCAAGUCGAACGGCAGCACGGGUGCUUGCACCUGGUGGCGAGUGGCGAACGGGUGAGUAAUACAUCGGAACGUACCUUAUCGUGGGGGAUAACGCAGCGAAAGUUGCGCUAAUACCGCAUACGCCCUGAGGGGGAAAGCGGGGGACCGUAAGGCCUCGCGCGAUUAGAGCGGCCGAUGUCUGAUUAGCUUGUUGGUGAGGUAAAAGCUCACCAAGGCGAUGAUCAGUAGCUGGUCUGAGAGGACGAUCAGCCACACUGGGACUGAGACACGGCCCAGACUCCUACGGGAGGCAGCAGUGGGGAAUUUUGGACAAUGGGGGCAACCCUGAUCCAGCAAUGCCGCGUGAGUGAAGAAGGCCUUCGGGUUGUAAAGCUCUUUUGUCAGGGAAGAAACAGCAGCUCUAACACAGUCUGCGAAUGACGGUACCUGAAGAGUAAGCACCGGCUAACUACGUG